CGCGGGGUAGAGCAGUUGGAAGCUCGCGUGGCCCAUAACCACGAGGUCGCAAGUUCGAGUCUUGCCCCCGCAA
rnacentral:tRNA from 1 species